rnacentral:rRNA from 1 species
GAUGAACGCUGGCGGCGUGCCUAAUACAUGCAAGUCGAGCGAACGGACGAGAAGCUUGCUUCUCUGAUGUUAGCGGCGGACGGGUGAGUAACACGCGGAUAACCUACCUAUAAGACUGGGAUAACUUCGGGAAACCGGAGCUAAUACCGGAUAAUAUUUUGAACCGCAUGGUUCAAAAGUGAAAGACGGUCUUGCUGUCACUUAUAGAUGGAUCCGCGCUGCAUUAGCUAGUUGGUAAGGUAACGGCUUACCAAGGCAACGAUGCAUAGCCGACCUGAGAGGGUGAUCGGCCACACUGGAACUGAGACACGGUCCAGACUCCUACGGGAGGCAGCAGUAGGGAAUCUUCCGCAAUGGGCGAAAGCCUGACGGAGCAACGCCGCGUGAGUGACGAAGGUCUUCGGAUCGUAAAACUCUGUUAUUAGGGAAGAACAUAUGUGUAAGUAACUGUGCACAUCUUGACGGUACCUAAUCAGAAAGCCACGGCUAACUACGUG